AGUUCGUAGUGACGUAGUCCAUCCGCUGUCAAGCCAACGAGCCCAUUGGAAUACCCGGGCGAGGUGGCCCAGAUCCGACAGCUGCUGCUGGUUCCUCCCGGCAGUUUCAUCGAGCGGCGGCCGCCGCCGUUUCAUCCAGGAGAAAUCCGGGGAGCGGCGACACCAAGAAAUCAAUGGCGGCUUGGUCAUCCACCAUCUGUGGAGGAUAGGCAACUCCAGCGGACUCCCCUGCCCCCACAUGGCCUGCUCCCUCCCGGAUCCCACCCUGCCCAAGCUCUCCUGGCCACGAGCUCCCUUUGCCGGGCUCCUUCGCGCCCGGCGGCCAUGGAGGACACCCCCGUGCGUGUUGGAGCCAUCCACGGCCGCGGCGAGCAGCUUCCACACGUGCACGGAGAGGGCCUCGAGCCGCGUGGCGCGGUGGCCGGAUAUGCUGGGAUCUGGGAGCCGCGCGGAGGCGGUCGACAUCGGCGGCCUCGACUGCACACGAGGGCGGUAGCGAGGAGCGCGUUGGGGAGACUGCGCGGGUUGUACCGCACGAACUCGGCGACCAGCGACGGGGCGUACCGGGGGCAUUUGGGGGCGGAAGAGGGAGUACCGGUCGUGGUAGGGCUCCCACGGGAGAUCCCCGUCGCUGGCGAGCAUCGGAGGGCUGCGUGGAGGCAUCCCCGACCGGCGGUGACAGGGCGGAAGAAGAGGCGUGUUACCUUGCCUGGUCGACGAACUCAAUGCAAGAGCAUUCACAAGGGUCGCUGAGAUCAAAUCAUAGUAAUGUCCAGCUUCUUACUCUCUUUCUUCGGAACCAAUUAUUUCUACUACUCGAGGUCAGAGGAGAAGUUUCAAGUGGUCUGUUGGGCGCCUGCUUAGUCGCGAAGGUAGAUGAAGUAAUCAUGACAACUGUAGUUAAAUUUAGGUAUAUACAUUGAUUUUCAUCUUAUUUUGUCUACUAUUUUCCUGAAGUAAGAGCAUAAUUAUGUAAAGGGUUUUCAUUAUUUAGCUGAACAAUACAGGAGACCAUCUUAGUGUUUCCAGUGCAACUACAGGAGCACUCUCAUAAUAGCCAUUACCUAGAGAAAAUGUCAUAACUGACAUGCUUUUCACUUCACAAUCAUCAUUCCUAUGCCACCAUUUUCUGUUUUAGGGACGUGAACAUUGAUUUAUUAUGAUGAGCUUAUAUUUGAGAAUGCCCUGGUCAACUAACUCCAUAUACCGUAAUGUAAAUUUCAGUUUUGUUUUGACAAGCUGGAGAUGCUGAUUUUAUAUUUCUUGGGGGAAAUAUGAAUGAACUAAAUUAAGUGGUCUAAAGUUAGUUUUGUUUCAAGAUUCCGAGGACAGGGAAAAAAGCUUUGCUUACCAUGAUACCAAUAUACCUGUCGUACAUGCUUCAUGUGUUGGCACUUUAGUAGGCGGACUUCAAUGGAGGUACCUCAUAUAAGGCGAACCUUGUGCUAGAGAACUAUUAUUUUAGAUUCCAUUGCAGAAGAGGAGAGCCCCGACUCGCAACACCUUGUGGUUGAUUCAUAUUUUUAUAUUAUCUCUUGCUGGCUAAACUACCAUUUUGUUAAUCUGGAUUCACCAAGAUCAAAAACUUCUAAGGUAUCUCUGUUUCUCUAGGUGAAGGAAAUUAAACUGGAAAAUGUAUUGAUGGUUCAACACAUUCUUCACUCUAGCUUUCCAUGUUACAUUGCCCAUAAUUAUCAUGAUGGCAUGGCUAUUUGUCAUGUGCAUGGAGCAUCAGACCUAUUUAGCACCUUUAUAUGUAAUACUAAAUGGGGUGAAAUAACGGAUGCCUUAUGGUGGACGCCAGUCAAUCUUAUUCUGAUCGACCAAGUAAGGUACCACGGGUAUUUCCAUGGAAGUUAAUUGAUGAAUAUAUAUACAAGGGAUCAUAGAUGAUGUAAUAUUUCGACCUAUGGACUCAUUGACAUUCAGGUUCUUAAUUUGAAAUCUUCAUUUCUGUUCGUUUUCAAAUUUCUUGCUAGCUUAACGUCCAGGUUUUACUGGCCUAGAUAUACAUUUGAUGUAUCUGCUCCGCCUUACUUUUUUAUCUGCCAAUUGUGUAUAUAAGUUGGCUGUUGAUUCUUCGCAAUAAAGGUGUACAUAUUUGUAGUUUAAUCUGAUUACAUGUCACUUAUCAUGCUUAGGCCCGCAGCUGAUUACCUUUUCCCCGAUUCUUUCACGGUGCAGAUUCAUAUGUAAACUGAAUGCUAAAAGAGAGGGCUGCUCCCAUCGCACUCACUUGGCUGCUGGAGCAGGGUUGCAAGCUCAACGUUUACUUGAGGGCGAAUUUAUCAGAGGUGCAAACAUGAGCUUAUUUUAAGUGGAUCCUUAAUUUUAUUCACUGUAAAUUUGCUCAACUGAAUUUCACUCUUUUAUUUCAUAGACCAGAUGCUCUCUCUAUUACAGACUAUUUCUGUACAUCUAUCUAAAAAGUGUAAUUACUCCUUAGUUCUGACCAAUGUUUUAGCAUGUAAUCCACUUACAUCGUGGGUCCCUAAGCAAAUGCUAUUUUCCUCUUAAAUCCAUGUAUACUAUAGUACAUGUUCAUCUCUUUCAGUUGCAAUGCGUCCCAUGUUUUAUGGGCAUUCUAGCUCUUCCAUUGGUUGUAAAAUAGAGUGGUAUUAGUCCUUGGUAUUUUUAGUGAUGAUAAUAACAUAUCUCAGUGAUUCUAUUGCAUGUUUCUAGACAAGGCAUUGGGAGUUCAUUUACUGUUGAUUUGCAUCUAUGGAGUUGGGUAGUUGCUGAAUGCCCUUGCAAGAUUGUAUGAGUUUGUGUUACCAUCAUUGAUCUAGGAGUUCUGAGUUAUUUGUCCCUUUCUUGAAACUGCGGCGGACUUCACUAGACAGUUCACAUAAAGAAAGUUCUUCGUGCAAGAAUGCCAUCGAAGUAAGGUCUUAUCUUUGGUAUCUAUUGAAAUGUCUACGUUUCUUAGCCUCCAGAUCGUUUUUCUUUUGGUAAAUCAUUGAAUGAAAGAGACAGUAGUUAUGCUUAGAUUGUGGAUCAUCAAAGACAGUUCAUCAAUUAUUUUCCUCUAUUCCUUACUAAUUGAUACUACUAGGAAUGCGGAAGGUAGUUCAUUGUAAUGAUGCUGUCCUAUAUUGUCAAUUGAUAAGAAAGCAACUACAAGUAUAGAUUCUUGCAUAUGUAUCUGUACUUUAUCCCGCUGUCCUUUGUUUCCGGUAACCAAUGCAUGGGUUCACAUGUUAAAACAUGGAUAUGCAUUCUGCCAUUAUGUUUAUGAGUUAACGCAAUUGUCCAUCUACCAAUAUGAGUAUGUCAUCUCACUUAAGGAGAUCUGUUAUUUUCUUCAGAAUGAAUAGCAACGUUUUGGUUUAGGAAUUUGUGUAUUUCUAGAGAUCCAUAACUUGCUUUCCUAUGUUAUUGUUUUCUGUUAGGAAUCUCUUAGUGGUUAUCCAUUUCUUUGUUAAUUCACUGCCAAGUUAAUAUAUUAGGUUAUCUUAUUGCUUAGAGAGUAUUGUGCUUCUGUUCAUUGAUCCAGUUUCCUUAGCUAAAAAGGGAGAUGAGUAAGUGUAUGCGUAUUGAUGAUAAAUAGCUGUUUUAUAGCUACUGCUGCGUUCAGUUUAUUUGUGUAUCACUCCUCAAAAAUGAUCAAGCUGCAUAUCCAGAUUAUGGGCGUUGUAAGCUUUUUGUCCUGAUGUGAUCUCAUUAUCGCUGAUGGCAAUCCCUGUACGCAGAAGUAAUAUUGUGUAACGGGAGUUGUUAACAAGCCUUUAGAGUGAUAUGCUGCCCAUGUUUCUGGCUACCACAUUCUGGUCAGUUCCUAUUACAUUUAUGUACAAAUGUGUACUGCCUGAUGCUUUUCUAAUACUUAAUUUUUUUUAUUUUUCAUUCUCUCAGCAGAUCUCUACCGAUGGAAUAAACUGUGUGCAUACAUGUUUAGCAUGUUUGGCCUAUAGCAUAUGUGUCUCCAGUCUAGGGUAUGUGAAGAAUGAGAAAGCUAUAUGUUUGUAUGUCAUUGUGAUAAACAAUGAGACUUGUGGUGCAUGCCAGUAUGAUUUCAUAUAGAUUUGCUUAGCAUGUCCUGCUUUUAUAAGAUGUAGUACGAUCCACUAUGUGUAUAUUAAGAACAUAUGUUCAGUUAUCGGCAGUGUUUAGUUUAUGUUUUUCCUCAUGUGUGUCAUAAUCAAUGAAAAAAAUAGCACGCUAUAACAAAUAGCAACAUCCAUUAAAAUCCACUAUUUUGGUGCUAUAGCAUGCAAAUAGUGAACAAAUGUA